UCAGAAAUGUAUGCUACAAGAAAAGUCAGAGAGGAAAUGGCUCCACAGCAACCGAGAGCAGAACCCAAGACUUUACCCAGAGAACCGAGCUUUCCAAGAACAACAACCUUGCCUAAAGCCUUGUCCAGCCAAAACCUGGCCCAGAUUGAAAGACCAUGGGAAAAUGUCACCCUCAACCGCUGUCUUUUUGUGGCCAUAACUAUCCUGG